AGGUGUGAGGGCAAUCUAGCUACAAUAUCCAUCACCAAAUUGAUAGGGUUGAUCUCACUGAUCUGGCUGGCUAGGUGUGUGUCCCCUUCCUUCCUUACCCCUCCAUGUGCAUCCCUCCCAAAGCUGCAUGCUAAGUCGAAGAGGAUGACCUUCCCUGACAGAGGAGGACUGUUCUUUGAUCAAGAAUAUAUGAGUAGCUGCAUUCCCCCGAUAUAAUCUCCAAACAAGCUCUCAGUGUCCAUUUAUAAAACAUAAGGUAGUCAAGCAUCUAAGACUCCUGGCACAUUCAAACAUCCAAAUGAAGUGCUGCAUGUGGCAGUCUGCCCUUCCU
rnacentral:snRNA from 1 species